GCUCCAGUGGCGCAAUCGGUCAGCGCGCGGUACUUAUACAACAGUGCUUGUGAAGCCAUGUCGAGGUUGUGAGUUCGAGCCUCACCUGGAGCA
rnacentral:tRNA from 1 species